UAGGGAAUCUUCCACAAUGGGCGCAAGCCUGAUGGAGCAACACCGCGUGAGUGAAGAAGGGUUUCGGCUCGUAAAGCCCUGUUGUUAAAGAAGAACACGUAUGAGAGUAACUGUUCAUACGUUGACGGUAUUUAACCAGAAAGUCACGGCUAACUACGUGCUAG
rnacentral:rRNA from 1 species